rnacentral:rRNA from 1 species
GAUGAACGCUGGCGGCGUGCCUAAUACAUGCAAGUCGAGCGAACAGACGAGGAGCUUGCUCCUCUGACGUUAGCGGCGGACGGGUGAGUAACACGUGGAUAACCUACCUAUAAGACUGGGAUAACUUCGGGAAACCGGAGCUAAUACCGGAUAAUAUAUUGAACCGCAUGGUUCAAUAGUGAAAGACGGUUUUGCUGUCACUUAUAGAUGGAUCCGCGCCGCAUUAGCUAGUUGGUAAGGUAACGGCUUACCAAGGCAACGAUGCGUAGCCGACCUGAGAGGGUGAUCGGCCACACUAGAACUGAGACACGGUCCAGACUCCUACGGGAGGCAGCAGUAGGGAAUGUUCCGCAAAGGGCGAAAGCCUGACGGAGCAACGCCGCGUGAGUGAUGAAGGUCUUCGGAUCGUAAAACUCUGUUAUUAGGGAAGAACAAAUGUGUAAGUAACUAUGCACGUCUUGACGGUACCUAAUCAGAAAGCCACGGCUAACUACGUG